UACGUAGGGGGCGAGCGUUGUCCGGAAUCACUGGGUGUAAAGGGUCCGCAAGCGGGCUGACAAGUCAGAGGUGAAAUCCCUCCGCUUAACGGAGGAACUGCCUUUGAAACUGUUAGUCUUGAGUCCGGGAGAGGAUGGCGGAAUUCCUGGUGUAGCGGUGAAAUGCGUAGAUAUCAGGAAGAACACCGGUAGUGAAGACGGCCAUCUGGACCGGUACUGACGCCCAGGGACGAAAGCGUGGGGAGCAAACAGG
rnacentral:rRNA from 1 species